rnacentral:misc_RNA from 1 species
GGAACAAUAUUUUAGCUUCCAAACGUGAAAAAGAAAGUGGUCCCAACCUUAUCAUUUUUGUUGUGCUACCUCUGCCAUCCUAAUUCAUGUUCCCCCAAAAUGAAUACUAAAAAAUUCAUGAAAAGUCAACAAAUCUGUAGGCAUUCAUAUCUAAAAUCUCUUUCAUAAAUUCUUUGCAAGUUGGCACAAUUCAACUUCUUACAUAGACCACAAAAAGAACACAACUAAGCCUAAAUCUAAAUCUAAU